UAUCUUUAAGUGUUGCGCACGUAAACUUUUGAUGUUUAAGGGAGAUUUGUCUAAAGAUAA
rnacentral:tRNA from 1 species